rfam:Oryza meridionalis cultivar OR44 (W2112) chromosome 1, whole genome shotgun sequence.
AAUAAGUGUAGUUUUACACUAUUCAUGUUCAACGUUUGACUAUUCAUCUUAUUUGAAAAUUUUUUGUGAUUAAUAUUUUUAUUGUUAUUAGAUGAUAAAACAUUAAUAGUACUUUAUGUCAAACUAUUUGUUUUAAUUUUUUAUAAAUUUUUUGAAUAAGAUGGACGAUCAAACGUUCGACACAGAUACCCACAGCUGCACUUAUU